AUUGAACGCUGGCGGCAUGCCUUACACAUGCAAGUCGAACGGUAACAGGUCUUCGGAUGCUGACGAGUGGCGAACGGGUGAGUAAUACAUCGGAACGUGCCCGAGAGUGGGGGAUAACGAAGCGAAAGCUUUGCUAAUACCGCAUACGAUCUCAGGAUGAAAGCAGGGGACCGCAAGGCCUUGCGCUCACGGAGCGGCCGAUGGCAGAUUAGGUAGUUGGUGGGAUAAAAGCUUACCAAGCCGACGAUCUGUAGCUGGUCUGAGAGGACGACCAGCCACACGGGGACUGAGAACCGGCCCAGACUCCUACGGGAGGCAGCAGUGGGGAAUUUUGGACAAUGGGCGCAAGCCUGAUCCAGCCAUGCCGCGUGCAGGAUGAAGGCCUUCGGGUUGUAAACUGCUUUUGUACGGAACGAAAAGACUCCUUCUAAUAAAGGGGGGUCCAUGACGGUACCGUAAGAAUAAGCACCGGCUAACUACGUGCCAGCCGCCGCCGUAAAAC
rnacentral:rRNA from 1 species